AAUUUAGUGGCUUAAAAUAACGUUUAUUAUCACACAUUUUCUGUGGGUCAGGAAUCUGGCACAACUUCACUGGAUCCUCUGCUUCAGGGUCUCUCAUGAGCAUUAAAGGUGUCAGUUGGGGUUGCAGUCAUCUCAAGACUUGACUGGGGAAGAAUCCACUUUCACACUCACUGAUGUGGUUAUCACACUCAUUGAUGCAGUUCCUUGAGGGCUGCUGGACUAAGGGAUUCAGUUUCUUGUUGGCUAUUGGCCAGAAGUGGCCCAUGAUGCCUUGCCACAUGGGCACCUUCAACAUGGCAGCUUGCUUCAUGAAAGCAUGCAAGCCAAGGCAAUCGUGGCAAGACAAAAGUUACAGUGUUUUGUAACCCAACCACGGAAGUGACAUCCCAUCACUUUUGCCAUAUGUUUGUUAGAAGUGAGUCAUCAGUUUCAUCCCAUAUUCAAGGGGAGGGGAUUACACAAGGCUAUGAACACAAGAAGGUGAGGAUCAUUGAAGGCCGUCUUUGGAAACUGACUCAUACAGGGUCCUUGUAACUUCCAGUGACCCUGGGGAACUGCACUUGCCACAUUCACAUCAAAUAUGGAUUCUAGACCAGGGAUCAGCAAACUUUUUCUGUAACAGGUUAGAUAGUGAAUAUUUUAGGCUCUGCGGAACAUAGUUACCUGUCGCAACUACUCAAUUUUGCCAUUGUAAAUGAAAGUAACCAUAGAUGAUACAUAAACAAACGGGCAUGGCUGUGAUCCCGCAAAACUUUAUUUACAAACAUAGGGAGCAGCCUGGAUUUGCCCUACAGGCUUCAGUUUGUGAUUCCUGUUCCAGACUAUUACAUCAACGUUCCUUAUAAACCAUUCUCAACACUAAAAAUGAAAGCCAAGUCACUAGCAAUGAAAUCCUAGGAGUCAACAAAUUCAUUUUAUUACCCACAAUGCGUGCUGCACUCCAGUGUCCGAGGCAGCCUGAUGCCACACGAAUGGAGUAAGCAUAUUUCUGCACGUAGUGUGGCAAAUUCAAAUGGAUGACAAAUGGCUGAACAAUGUUAGUAAACUAUAGCAAUAAAGGGUCCAAGUUUGGGAAAGUUCUCAGUCAGCAUUUAUGAAGCACCUGUUAUGUUGGAACCCUGGGUCCUGUCUUCUCUAGGCAGGGAAUGAAGAAAAGAGGCAAGACAGAUUACAAAGAAAAACAGCAGUAUGGAAUCUACUUCUUCGGUGAACAGUCUAGUUGGAAAGUGAUACGGUUUUGAGAGAUGACAGCAUGUUGGGAGCCCUCGCUCACUCUGGGUGCCUCCUCGGCCUCGGCACCCACACUGGCCGCGCUUGAGGAGCCCUUCAGCCCGCCGCUGCACUGUAGGAGCCCCUCUCUGGACUGGCCGAGACUGGAGCCGGCUCCCUCUGCUUGUGGGGAGGCGUGAAGGAAGAGCUGCGGGCGGAAACCGGGGCUGUGCGCGGCGCUCGCGGGCCAGGGCAAGUUCCGGGUGGGCAGGGGCUCAGCAGGCCCCGCACUCGGAGCGGCCGCCUGGCACCGCCGGCCUCAGGCAGUGACGGGCUUAGCACACGUGCCAGCAGCUGCAGAGGGUGCGCCGGGUCCCCCAGCAGUGCCGGCCUGCCGGCGCUGCGCUGGGAUUCUCACCGGGCCUCAGCUGCCUCUCCGCGGGGCAGGGCUCUGGACCUGCCAGCCCGCCAUGCCCGAGCCUCCCCACCGCCAUGGGCUCCUGCACUGCCCGAAGCCUCUCCGACAAGCGCCGCCCCUUGCUCCGUGGCACCCCGUCCCGACUGCUCAAGGGCUGAGGAGUACGGGUGCCCGAUGCGGGACUGACGGGCAGCUUCGCCUUUGGCGUGGGUGCGGGAUCCACCAGGUGAAGCCAGCGGAGUCUCUGAGUCUAGCUGGGAUUUGAAGAACUUUUAUGUCUAGCUGGAGGAUUGUAUACACACCAAUCAGCACCGUGUCUAGCUCAAGGUUUGUAAAUGCACCAAUCAGUGCUGUGUCUAGUUAAUCUGGUGGGGACUUGGAGAACCUUUACGUCUGGCUAAAGGAUUGUAAAUACACCAGUCAGCACUCCGUGUCUAGCUAAAGGUUUGUAAACACACCAAUGAGCACCCUGUGUCUAGCUCAAGGUUUGUAAAUGCACCAAUCAGUGCUCUGUGUCUAGCUAAUCUAGUGGGGACUUGGAGAACUUUUGUGUCUGGCUCAGGGAUUGUAAACGCACCAAUUAGCACCCUGUCAAAAGGGACCAAUCAGCUCUCUGUAAAACGGACCAAUCAGCAGGAUGUGGGUGGGGCCAGAUAAGGGAAUAAAAGCAGGCUGCCCGAGCCAGUUGUAGUACCACGCUGGGGUACCCUUACGCUUUAUGGAGUGUUUGUUAUUUUGCUGUUUGUCAUAAAUCUAGUUGCUGCUUACUCUUUGGGCUUGUACUGCGUUUAUGAACUGUAACACUGACUGUAAAGGAGAGACUGCAUAUGUCUGACCAUCAGAAGCAAGAAACUCCAGACACACAC
rnacentral:lncRNA from 10 species